UUUCAUAUCUGUAUGAUAAUC
rnacentral:piRNA from 1 species